CUAAAAAAUAGUAAGRGCACAUGGUGAAUGCCUUGGAAAAUGGAGCCGAAGAAGGACGUGAUUACCUGCGAAAAGCAUCGGGGAGCUGGAAGUGAGCUUAGAUCCGGUGAUGUCCGAAUGGGGAAACCCAAUACGAUUAAUCUCGUAUUAUCCAUAAGUGAAUACAUAGCUUAUGAGAAGGGAACCUUGGGAACUGAAACAUCUUAGUACCAAGAGGAAAAGAAAAUAAAUAAUGAUUCUGUUAGUAGCGGCGAGCGAAMGCGGAAGAGGCCAAACCAGUCUACGGGCUGGGGUUGUAGGACAUCUUUUUAGAGUUACAAAAUCAACAUAUAGUARAAACUACUGGGAAGUAGUGGCAUAGAGGGUGAUACCCCCGUAUACGAAAUGUGUUGAUCUCUUAGAUGUAUCCUGAGUACGGCGAAACACGUGAAAUUUUGUCGGAAUCCGCCGAGACCACUCGGCAAGCCUAAAUACUCCC
rnacentral:rRNA from 1 species